rnacentral:lncRNA from 1 species
AACAUACUAAGAUAUUCCACAAAAAACAAGGGUAAGCUAGUGUAAUUUAAUAUUCAUGCAGGAAUGCAAUUCAAACAAGUAGUUAAGGUACUCAUACAACAUGUAUAAUUGAUAUAAACAUAUAUGACCGACCACUUUGACUUGACCGUCCGGACUAGUAUGAAUAUGCAGUUUUGGCCGUUCGUGCAUUCGUGGCUGUAGUAAUUGGAAACCCAUCAGCUGCCACACGAGGUUAGCCCGUUAUCACUCGCCGUAGGACACCCCCCUAGGCUAGGGCCUCCUACUAUUUUCACGACAAGAUUUACCCAUCUCUACUUGAGAAUUGGUAAUCAUUAGAAUGUCAAGAUGAACGCCAUGGAUUCCACUAUCCAUAUUCAUACUUUACAACCACCUUGAUAACCAAUCACUGAGACAUUCCUUCUUGGAAUUCUCUUUCAUAACCACAUUAGAAAUCUCAUACCAUACUUUAAUAUCAACAUUAUUUCUCAUACAUAAUACAUUUAAACAACUGAAACAAACACUCAGAGUACAACAUAAUCGCAACCCUUUUAAAGACCAAAUGCUUCAUAGUAAGGUCAAACCGAACGGUAAAACC